AAGGUUAGGAUGACCUUUUAUUCCUUCUGCUCUGCCCUGAAUGGACCUUUCCUGCACCAGACUUAGAUAACCCACAAAAAGGAGAGUUGAAAUCUGUAUUGCUUCCAAGAGGGACCAAACUGGAGGAAAAGCAGGAACCUUAAAUGACCUUCUGUUGAAAAAGAGAAAGGUUAUCAAAUCAAAAGCUCAGGAAAAAGAAGCCCACGUGAUGUUGUUUCACAUGAUGCUGAUACUGAAGAUCAGAUACCUGAUCAGUGGGGCCCCAGCAGCGGAAAUAUCUUUAGCUGGAAAAUUAAACUAAGAGAUUAUACUGUCACCAAAGCAGGCUCAUAAAAGUAUUCUUAUUAAAUCUCUCCACAGGACUAAGGAACUAAUAAAUUAGCUAGCUCCUUAAAUGAAAACUGCUAAGUAUCAAACCCAACAAUGAAUCUCACCAGUAAAUUUUGAAUUGCAACAAAAAUCAAAGAUCCUGAA